UACGUAGGGGGCAAGCGUUGUCCGGAUUUAUUGGGCGUAAAGAGCGUCUAGGCGGCUAGAUAGGUCCGUUGUGAAAACUCGAGGCUCAACCUCGAGACGUCGAUGGAAACCAUCUGGCUAGAGUCCGGAAGAGGAGAGUGGAAUUCCUGGUGUAGCGGUGAAAUGCGCAGAUAUCAGGAAGAACACCCGUGGCGAAGGCGGCUCUCUGGUACGUGACUGACGCUGAGACGCGAAAGCGUGGGGAGCAAACAGG
rnacentral:rRNA from 1 species